rnacentral:miRNA from 1 species
GCAGCCGGGCCCGGGCUGGGCUGGGCUGGGCAGUCUACUCCGGGCGCCGUCUGCACGGCCUGCCCUGACCGCACCCUUCCCGAGGCCAGCGCU